rnacentral:rRNA from 1 species
CCUACGGGAGGCAGCAGUGGGGAAUAUUGGGCAAUGGGCGCAAGCCUGACCCAGCAACGCCGCGUGAAGUCAUCCUGCUUUCUUUUUUUACCCUUCUUUUCUCAGGGACGAAGAAAGUGACGGUACCUGAGGAAUAAGCCACGGCUAACUACGUGCCAGCAGCCGCGGUAAUACGUAGGUGGCUAGCGUUAUCCGGAUUUAUUGGGUGUAAAGGGCGUGUAGGCGGGAGCGCAAGUCAGAUGUGAAAACUCAGGGCUCAACCCUGAGCCUGCAUUUGAAACUGUGUUUCGUGAGGGCUGGAGAGGCAAGCGGAAUUCCGUGUGUAGCGGUGAAAUGCGUAGAUAUACGGAGGAACACCAGUGGCGAAGGCGGAUUGCUGGACAGUAACUGACGCUGAGGCGCGAAAGCGUGGGGAGCAAACAGGAUUAGAUACCCCAGUAGUC